CUAACCUCCCACCCGUGAAUACCUGACCAACGUUGCUUCGGCGGUGCGCCCCCCCCGGGGGUAGCCGCCGGAGACCACACCGAACCUCCUGUCUUUAGUGUUGUCUGAGCUUGAUAGCAAACCUAUUAAAACUUUCAACAAUGGAUCUCUUGGUUCCGGCAUCGAUGAAGAACGCAGCGAACUGCGAUAAGUAAUGUGAAUUGCAGAAUUCAGUGAAUCAUCGAGUCUUUGAACGCACAUUGCGCCCCCUGGCAUUCCGGGGGGCAUGCCUGUCCGAGCGUCAUUGCUGCCCUUCAAGCCCGGCUUGUGUGUUGGGUCGUCGUCCCCCCCGGGGGACGGGCCCGAAAGGCAGCGGCGGCACCGCGUCCGGUCCUCGAGCGUAUGGGGCUUUGUCACCCGCUCGAUUAGGGCCGGCCGGGCGCCAGCCGGCGUCUCCAACCUUCUAUUUUACCAGGUUG
rnacentral:misc_RNA from 1 species